GCCGUACUUGUCGCCGUACUCCUUCAGCUUGUCGAUGUUGCCGCCGACGCGAUCCUUGAGCUGAGGGUGGUUGUCCAUGAUCUGCUGCGCGGAGUCGCCGGCCAAGUCGCCGAUGCGGCCGAGGUGCUUGACGAUGAUGUCCCAUGCGCGCUUUGCGGUGAGGAUCGAGAUGUCGCCGUUCUUCGCCACGCUCUGCAGCUCCGAGUAGGCGUCCCGCACGAUGUUAUCG
rnacentral:misc_RNA from 1 species